AGACAUCAGUUCUUGUUAAAAUUGAUGUCUUAUUUCCCGUUUCAAAAAAUGAAAAUAAUAAACCCGCUCAUUAUUCUCUCCUUACACAAAUACUCCCCACUUAAACAAAAUUUUAUUUCCCACCUUCACCCAAAUGUUAUUUUCCCCAUUUCUUUCUUUUCCUCUCGACUCUCUCUCGAUCAACUCUCUCUUGAUCGACUCUCUCGUGUCUCUCUCUCUUUCCAUCUCUGCUCUCCCUAUCUAGUCUCUCUCACACCAUCUAUUUCAUGCUCCGACAUUCAAAUUGUAGUUAGGGUUCGAUUGGGUAAACCCUAAUUUGUUCUAUUGAAGACACAGCUUGAAGAAGAGCAACUUGAAUUAAUUAGUAGAUAAAAACUCAGCUCGGAGAAACGCAACCUGCAGAUUAGUUCGAUUGGGUUUCAGGGUUUGAUGGGUUCAAUUUGAUUUUAGGGUUCUUCUUUUCUCAGUCUACAUCUUCUUCUUCAUGGAAACCUGAUACGAGAUUCCAUGGUCAUUGUAGUAUAUUUUUUUGGCCUUAUUCACCUUACUAUUUGGAUAUUGAUCAGCAUGUUUCUUUCUUGAAGCAUUUUGGACCCUGGAUAUUGCUAAUAUGAGCCCUGCUUAUGCUUUUGACUAGACAGAGUACCAGCCGUAAAAAAAUGUCCUCUUUGCUAUCCGAUGCCCUUGAGUCAACUACGGGGCCGAGUUCAGGAAUCCAGCCUCUCAGCCAAGUCAUUUAGUCAGGAAUAUACAGACAGGGGGAUGUUGGUCAGGGCACAUGUUCCCCUGCGGUUUACAAGCCUCCGCACCCCAGUGAGGCAAAUGUGUGUACAUUUGAAUAUAUAUUUGAGGGGGACACAAUGGAAGAAGUUUGUGAGAGAUCUUUUAUAAUCAAAUUGUAUAGAAAUUUUUGAUCGACAUGCUUUGAAUAUAUGUUCUAUGCAUGUUUUUGUUGGAGAUUUUUUAAAUCAAUGUAGUUUUGAUAUUGGAUGGUUUGGAUUAUGUAGUUGGUUUUUUUAUUUGAUGAAUUAGAUAA